rnacentral:lncRNA from 1 species
UCCCCUUCUACAGGGAGGUUUGUGUCUGGGCUCACACUGAGGUCACCUCACUGUGUCCUUUGCACAGUAAUACAUAGCCGUGUCCUCGGCUCUCAGGCUGUUCAUCUGCAGAUACAGCGUGUUCUUGGCAUUGUCUCUGGAGAUGGUGAAUCGGCCCUUCACAGCGUCUGCGUAGUAUGUGCUACUUCCAUCACUGCUAAUCCGUGCGACCCACUGAAGCCCCUUCCCUGGAGCCUGGCGGACCCAGUACAUGUAGUAGCUACUGAAGGUGAAUCCAGAGGCCACACAGGAGAGUCUCAGGGACCCUCCAGGCUUCACCAAAUCUUCCCCAGACUCCACCAGCUGUACCUCUCCCUGGACACCUGCAGACACAAGACAUCCUGGUCAAACAACUGUCCCACAUCCCCAGUUUCUCUCACUCACUUCCACUCACAGACUCAAGGUCUCUGGUUCUCUAUGAAUUACCUUUUAAAAUAGCAACAAGGGAAACCCAGCCGAGCACACACUCCAUGGUGGUUUGUCUCUGUUGUGUCCUGAUCAGUGAAUCAGGUCACCUUGGGAUCCUGGGGCUGGUGCUUCUCUCCCAGCUGCAGGG